CCUGUGGGGAAGAUCAGAGCCACAGAGAGACACAAACACACACGCAGGCUUCUCCUGCAGUUUGGUGGGACAGUGUCAGCUACUCCUAAAUAAAAACCCGAGAACACAAAAGAACUUUCAGGCGGGUUGUGGAAUAAAACAGACACAAAAAGCUAAGGUUCUCAAUAAAUUGAAUAAGUAACAUUCCCGCAAAGUGUUUUCCUGUGCAGUAUUCACGUCCUCCUCAUGGCAAAUCUGCGUCUUACCUAUUACUGUCCUUUUUAACAAGAAAAGGGAGCACAAAGGAGUUCUCUUGUGGCGCAGCAGGGUAAGAAUCCAGUGUUGUCACUGCAGGGGCCUGGGUCACUGCUGCGGCACGGGUGCGAUCCCCGGCCUGGGAACUUCCACAUGCUGCGAGUGCCUCCAAAAAGACAGAAGGAAGGAAGGAGAGAGAUAGAAAGAAAGAGGAGCAUACAGAGCAAUUAAGCUCGUGUCUGAAUUUUAAUCCAUAUCCUCGCACUUCGGGGUCUGUGGCAAGCAGCUUAACCCCUCAGACCUUCGAUUACUCAAUCUGCAAAACAGGGAUAAACAUACCUAGCAUUCAAAUACUUUUUGAGCAUCUAUGACACGUCGGUGCAUAUUGGGGAUACAGCUGUGAGCAGGACAGGCAAAAUGCUGAUUCCAGGCAGUUUACAGGGAAUGUGGGAGACAGACAACCACCAAAUGAAUGCACACGUGUCAGAUGAGGCCAGGAGGUGCAAGAAAACAAGGGGGCGGGGGACACAGGCUGCACAUUUUGAGAAGCCAGUCGAGGAAGGCUUUAUGAGAAAGUGGCACCAGACAAGAGACUCGAAGGAGGUGAGGAGUGACCUGUGCGAGAUGGAGGCCCCUGGAGGGCUCUGCUUGUGCUGAGGAAGAGCAUGGCUGGACGACUGCCCACCCAGGGCAUCGCUGCAGGCCAGGAGACUGCUGGAGGUGCCAAGAGCUCUCCAGGAGGGACCUGGUGGCUUGCUCCCGGGCAGGGGCAGAUGGGGGGAAAAGUGGUCAGGUACUGAGUGCCCUUGGAAUUGAGAGCCAACAUGAUCCACCAGCAGACCGAACUGCAGUGUGGAAAAAAAAAAAAAAAACUACUUGGUCUCCGCGCCGAAGCAGGAAGGGAGGCAUCCUGAAGGGGCCUCGGGAAGAUGAGCCGUCCUGUAACGACCCUGCGGGCAGCUGCAUGCAUGAGCCGUGCCUCAAGGACAGAGCUGGGCUGGAGACGUGGGCUGUCGGCAGCACCUCCAGCUGCUGGGCAGGGAAGGGCCCAUGCAAUCCAAUGCUUAGAUCUUGGACAAUCAAAGGGGAACCAGUAAAAGAGACUAAAAAGGUGUGAAAGGAAGAAAACCACAAGAGGACGGCAUCAGGGAAGCAAGGGCACAGAGAGUUCCAGGAGGAAGGAGCCGCGCACUAGGUUUGGUCGUGUGCAGGUGAUGGGUGACUUGAGAGGAGAAUCUGGGUGGUGAGGUGGGGAGGGGCCCGGAUCUGAGCAGGUCCCAGAGCGGGAGGGAGUGCAUUGGAGACCGGAGGCCACCAGUCAGCAACGCUUCUCAAGGCGGGACGGAGUGUCUGCGCUGCAAUCCCCGUUCUGCCACCUAUCAGUCCUUCGACCUCAGGCAAGGGCCUUAAUCCGAGCCUCUGACUUCUCAUCUGAAAAACGGGGGUGACAAUCCCCAAAAGAACUGACAUAGGAGAAUAGUGCCUGGUCGAUGCUAAACACUACGUAAAUG
rnacentral:lncRNA from 1 species